GCCUGAGUGCCUAUGCUAUAUUUAUCAUCAUAUGGCAUUUGAACUUUACGGUAUGCUGGCUGGAAGUGUUAGUCCCAUGACAGGCGAAACUAUAAAACCUGCUUACGGUGGUUCAGAUGAGGCUUUCUUGAGGAAAGUAGUGACUCCCAUCUAUAACACUAUAGCAAAGGAAGCUAAAAGGAGCAAAGAAAAGUCAAAACAUUCUCAGUGGAGAAACUAUGAUGAUUUGAAUGAGUAUUUCUGGUCAGUUAAUUGCUUCAGGCUGGGCUGGCCAAUGCGCGCUGAUGCUGAUUUCUUCCAUCUUCCCCCUGAAGAACAACGGGCUGAUGCAAAUGAAGCAAUUAAAAGGAACCAUUGGAUGGGGAAAAUCAAUUUUGUCGAGACCCGGUCGUUUUGGCACAUCUUUAGGAGUUUUGAUAGGAUGUGGGGCUUUUUUAUUUUAUGCUUACAGGCAAUGAUCAUUAUUGCAUGGAAUGGAUCUGGCAAUCUAGGUUCUAUUUUUG
rnacentral:misc_RNA from 1 species